rnacentral:rRNA from 1 species
CCUACGGGAGGCAGCAGUGAGGAAUAUUGGUCAAUGGACGAGAGCCUGAACCAGCCAAGCCGCGUGAGGGAUGACUGCCCUAUGGGUUGUAAACUUCUUUUGUCGGAGAAUAAAAUCUUCGACGUGUCCCAUACUGCGUGUAUCCUAUGAAUAAGCAUCGGCUAACUCCGUGCCCGCAGCCGCGGUAAUACGGAGGAUGCGAGCGUUAUCCGGAUUUAUUUGGUUUAAAGGGUGCGUAGGGGGUCUGUUACAGCAGUCGUGAAAGUUCGCGGCUCAACCGGAACAAGGCAGUUGAAACUGGCAGACUUGAGGUCGGGAGAGGUAGGAGGAAUUCGUGGUGUAGCGGUGAAAUGCUUAGAUAUCACGCAGAACUCCGAUUGCGAAGGCAGCGUACUGGAGC